UACGGAGGGGGCGAGCGUUAUUCGGAAUUAUUGGGCGUAAAGGGCGCGUAGGCGGCCGUCUAAGUCAGAGGUGAAAUCCUGGAGCUCAACUCCAGAACUGCCUUUGAUACUGAAAGUCUUGAGUAUGGGAGAGGUGAGUGGAACUGCGAGUGUAGAGGUGAAAUUCGUAGAUAUUCGCAAGAACACCAGUGGCGAAGGCGGCUCACUGGCCCAUAACUGACGCUGAGGCACGAAAGCGUGGGGAGCAAACAGG
rnacentral:rRNA from 1 species